GGUGAGAUGGCCGAGUUGGUUAUGGCGUCAGGUUAAGGUUGACAACCUCAACAACAAAAAAUUGUUUCCUGAUGGAGAAAUCCGCCUGGGUUCGAGUCCCAGUCUCAUCA